GGCGGGUCCCCUCGCAUGCCGCCUCCGGCAAUCUGGUCAGGUCAGGAAUGAAGCAGCCACACCGGAGUAGCGACAGUGCCGAGGAAAAGGCUCGCCAUU
rnacentral:SRP_RNA from 1 species